CCUUUGGGUCUCAAUGGGAAAUCGUCUGUUUUGCAGCUUUACGUUCAGCGGCGCACGUGUUACCUCAAUAGAAACAAGUUUAAGAAACUGAGUGCACGCCUGAUACCGGACCAGCUCACGGGCAUCAAUUAUAAAGUGAUCAAUUGGAAUAGACGAGGAGCAGGGCUGGACUGGUAAUCUAGCCUACCGGACAUUUUUCCGGUGGACCGACGCACUUUGGGGCCGAUCAGGGUGGACUGGCCAUCGGGAGAACCGAGCGGGCCGCUGUGUUGGCCGCGAUAAUCUAAAACGAGCCGCCGCUGAACACUCUCCCCCCAACAACUUUUGGGCCAGUUAUGUGAAAUCCCGGGCCGAUUUCUCUUUUCAGUCCAGCUCUGACAAGGAGCACAUGGAUAUUGUUGAAGUUAAACAAGUACAAGUUUGCCCAGAGUUUUCUUAAGCCGUUUGGACUGUGAUGCAGCACAUGUUUCCUUGGCAAUGAAGUGGAGGCUGAUGUUUGUGCAGCUUUCUGCAAUGCACUGAGUAUGAAGAUGUGAUUGUUGUAUGGUUCUAGGUUGAACAUGUGUGCCUCAAUUUCCUUGAAUGCAGAACCACCAUGGAGAUCCAGAACCGUUGUGGGGACAGAGAUGGGCCUUGUGAGUGUGUGCUGUUGAAGA